rnacentral:rRNA from 1 species
GACGAACGCUGGCGGCGUGCUUAACACAUGCAAGUCGAACGGAAAGGCCCUGCUUUUGUGGGGUGCUCGAGUGGCGAACGGGUGAGUAACACGUGAGUAACCUGCCCUUGACUUUGGGAUAACUUCAGGAAACUGGGGCUAAUACCGGAUAGGAGCUCCUGCUGCAUGGUGGGGGUUGGAAAGUUUCGGCGGUUGGGGAUGGACUCGCGGCUUAUCAGCUUGUUGGGGGGGUAGUGGCUUACCAAGGCUUUGACGGGUAGCCGGCCUGAGAGGGUGACCGGCCACAUUGGGACUGAGAUACGGCCCAGACUCCUACGGGAGGCAGCGGUGGGGAAUAUUGCACAAUGGGCGGAAGCCUGAUGCAGCAACGCCGCGUGCGGGAUGACGGCCUUCGGGUUGUAAACCGCUUUCGCCUGUGACGAAGCGUGAGUGACGGUAAUGGGUAAAGAAGCACCGGCUAACUACGUG